AGCCGAUGUCUUUAGCGUACUGCCUGAAGCACUGGCGGCACAUGUUGAGCCCGUAUUUACGGAUCAGACCGUGUCUGUUCGAGCAUACCCGGCUGAAAAAAAGACAUUAAAUAUGGAUUAUAAACGGGGACCGAGAAGCAACACUACUUUAACCGAUGAAGCAGGCGGUGAGCUGAGGAGAUACAAAGAGGAACUACACCAACGGUCAAGUGUAGAGUACAGUGGAUACAGUGCCUACAAAUGCCACCUUGACUGUGUGCAAAGCAGCCAUCAUCACUGUGGCUUUUGCACAAAAGUCUUUGUGAAAAAUGUUUUGUCUGUCAGUUUAAAACCUGCUGCAAGACAGCAACCACAAAUAUUACUGCAACUUUGCCAUCCACGGUGACUCCAGCGUCCACUCCAGCAUCCAUGGUGACUCCAGCGUCCACUCCAGCAUCCAUGGUGACUCCAGUGUCCACUUCAGCAUCCAUGGUGACUCGGUGUCUACAGCAGACCAUCAGAAAUAAAAUGAUGCAAAAAAACAUGUUUUUGCUUGCAGUUAUGGGAGGAAGAGGAAGGCAGAGCAACACUCUAAGACGACCCACCGCCUGUCCUUAGGAUCAACCGUGAAAGAAGGCGCUCAGGCUGCACUGUGGUCAGUAAUACAUGCUACAUGGAUUGUAACAAAAAACUAAAUAACAGAAAUGAACUUGUUGAAUGUUGUUCGUAGAUGUGUCUCAUGAGGAUUAUUUAUUCUUCUUAUUAUUUUAUGUCAUGUUCAUGUGUGUCUUUAGUAUGUGGGCUAUUUGAUUUUUACCCCACACAACACACAUUUUUAGUCUGCUUCCUUGUAGAUUGUUUUAUUUGAUUCAGGAAUGGUUGUUCAUCUGUCUUAAUAAACUUUUGAAAUGG